GAAGUUUCUACUUUCUUCAGGAGAUUUCCAUCUAUCUUGAUAUCGUGUAACCAUUAGCCUUCUGGCAAGUGUCUCCUUAAUCUUCUGUAUAUUUAUGCUGCUCCUAGCUACCUCCAGAAUCUUCUUUUCCUUCCAUCCUGUAUUAUAAAAUGCGACACAAGCAUAAAUACCUUUCAAGUGGGAUCAAAAGUAGAUAACAUCAAACCAGCAUUACUUGUCUAGACAGUUUGGAAUCACUUGAAUAUUGGUCUUUCACAAGUACAGAGCAUCUUGUUUGUGUUCUAUAUUGGCUAUGGCUUUGAGAUCAUCUUCUACUCAUCUCAAAUCUAUGGUAGGGCUUUUAAGAGGAAACUCCAAUUUUUCAACAUCAACCACUCCGAAAAUGAAGGCCUUCGUCCCCACAGCUGAUUUAGUACUGCCCCAAGACGUCAAAGCAAGGGCAAAGAAAGGAGAUUUUGCACCAAUGUUUAUGGCUAUUGGGAUGAUUGGACUGUCAACUAGUUUGGGGAUGUACAUAGCAUUGAAAGAGCUUAGGAGAGGACCAAAUGUGUACGUGAAGAAAUCAAGAAGGGAAACAAUUCCGGAGGUGGUGGAGCCUGAGCAUGUACUAGAGGAAUCCGAAAAAUUCAUGAAAAGAUCUAUCUUCCGAAAACUGGCUCAUAUCAAUGAUAAAGCUCGUGAACAAGUCAUACCUAAUCCCAUUAUAGGAGACAUCUCUUCGAGCCAACCAUCAACGAAAGCAAACAAAUCAUUCACCAACGAACAAUUUUCUCAUUUGCCAGCCUUUACUAGAUUUCAGAUUCGUCAGGGACUGAGCAUGGCUUGCUCGAUUUAUUAAUACUUUUUCAUGCAGCCUUUCUGUUGGAUUUUCUGGAUGCAUUUCCCUAAUCAUAUGGCAGGAGGAGCAUGUUGAUGUUUUCAGUGCCAGGUCUUCAAAUUGGACUUGAUGAGAAGGCUUGAAGAAAAGAUGCUAAGUCAUGAAAUAAAUCAAGUUGGUAGCGUUAUUGAGUAGAUGCCAACAAGAAUCUGCUUCUCCUGGGAAUUAGAUGGUCAUAGCAUUAGUUCUAACGGCAUGACUAUUUGUUGGUUUAAGUGAAGUUGUGAACUUACAAAACAAAAGGCAGUGAAGACCUUGCCUGCAAAUCUUAGUGCCUUAACCAUUUGCAUGAUAAAAGGUUCGUUGCACUGAUUACGUGGAAAGUGAACUGACAAACAACUUGGCAAAUCCAACUUUCAGUUACUUUCUAAAUGUGUCCUUCUGGCUGCAAAGACUUGAGAAGCACAAACAGGUCUCAUUGGGCUUUGCAGAGGGUUCUGUAGAUUGACUCACAGCUGGCAUUUUUGUCGCGUCUUUUAUCCCCACUAGACACAUAAAAACAAGACAUCAACCAGUUCCUGGUGAGGAAGACUUACUUUGAGGGUCUUUACUACGGAUUGGCUGGAAUUCUUGUUGGUGUCUCAGUUAACUCCCAUUAAUGGAACUGGUGGGUAACGUUGUUUUUUCAUGAUGUCUCAACAAUAUGCAUGCCCUGCAUCUGGUUUCUGCAUGCUUGAUGCAUGUGGUUUGCUAAGUAAGCUGCAAUUUGUCUAUGUUAAAAUUCCUUCCAGAUUUUUCUUUGAGGACUGAAAAUGGCUUGUGCAUUUCUUUGAGGACUGAAAAUUCCUUUCAGCUUUUCUAUUGGAUUUCUCUGAUGCAUUUUCCCUAGUUAAAUAGUUAAACAAAGCAUACCUUGUCGUCUAUUAACUGCAUGGUAGUUUGAAGCAUAAUUUUCUUAGUGUAUCUAUUUUAUGUGAGAAAACGAAUAGGGCAUCUUCUGUGGCUUUUCGUGUGAUAAGUAUCAUGAUCAUAAUCUACUUCUUGUUCAAGAAGAAGAAAGAAGCCAAUUUUCAACAGGAGGUAAAUGGGAUGUUUUACUGCCAGGUCUUCAAGAUGGACUUGAAACAAAGACGUCUACUUUAUUGUGAAUCAAUGAAAUUGGUGUCUUCACUGACAGGAUCCCUUAAGAAUCUUCUCCACCUGGGAAAAAGAUGGUCAUAGCUUAGUUCUAGCCAAAUCCUACGGGCAUGUUGGAAGUUUAUUUCUCGGUAUUUUGAUCAAGAGCUUCCACGUAAUUACAUUUCAAAUUUCAGUUGCUUCAUUGGUGAUUCUAUUAGUCUACUGGAAAUGCAUUUUGACAGUAUUUUUGCAUUUUUAUCCAAAUUCUUUGUAUUCUCGAAACAACAGGGUGCAAUUUUUACAUGUUGAGAAACUAAUAAAGAGUAUAGGGCUGUGCUUUCUUGUGAACUCUGCAAUUGUCUAAGUAGCAUUAGGAGAAUCAGUCUCUUUGAAUAAUGUGAAGCUCUUCUGAUGUCUGUUAAACACCAAUCGUGCAAACAGGCACAUGUUACCUA